rnacentral:rRNA from 1 species
CCUACGGGAGGCAGCAGUGAGGAAUAUUGGUCAAUGGCCGAGAGGCUGAACCAGCCAAGUCGCGUGAGGGAAGACGGCCCUACGGGUUGUAAACCUCUUUUGUCGGGGAGCAAAGCGAACCACGUGUGGUUCUUUGAGGGUACCCGAAGAAAAAGCAUCGGCUAACUCCGUGCCAGCAGCCGCGGUAAUACGGAGGAUGCGAGUGUUAUCCGGAUUUAUUGGGUUUAAGGGGUGCGCAGGCGGAGGUGCAAGUCAGCGGUCAAAUUGCGGGGCUCAACCCCGUACUGCCGUUGAAACUGCAUCGCUUGAGUGCGCGAAACGUAUGCGGAAUGCGUGGUGUAGCGGUGAAAUGCAUAGAUAUCACGCAGAACUCCGAUUGCGAAGGCAGCAUACGGGCGCGCUACUGACGCUCAUGCACGAAGGCGUGGGUAUCGAACAGGAUUAGAUACCCUGGUAGUC